GGCUGGUUAGCUCAGUUGGUUACAGCAUGGUGUUGAUAACACCAAGGUCAAGGGUUCCUUCCGAUCCCCUUACCAGCCA